rnacentral:rRNA from 1 species
AGCAGUAGCCGCGGUAAAACGGAGGGCGCGAGCGUUACCCGGAUUUACUGGGCGUAAAGGGCGUGUAGGCGGCCUGGGGCGUCCCAUGCGAAAGGCCACGGCUCAACCGUGGAGGAGCGUGGGAUACGCUCAGGCUAGAGGGUGGGAGAGGGUGGUGGAAUUCCCGGAGUAGCGGUGAAAUGCGCAGAUACCGGGAGGAACGCCGAUGGCGAAGGCAGCCACCUGGUCCACUUCUGACGCUGAGGCGCGAAAGCGUGGGGAGCAAACCGGAUUAGAUACCCCUGUAGUCCCUGUCUCUUAUAC